rnacentral:rRNA from 1 species
UACGUAGGGUGCAAGCGUUGUCCGGAAUUAUUGGGCGUAAAGAGCUCGUAGGCGGUCUGUCGCGUCUGCUGUGAAAAUUCAGGGCUUAACCCUGAGCUUGCAGUGGGUACGGGCAGACUAGAGUGCGGUAGGGGAGACUGGAAUUCCUGGUGUAGCGGUGAAAUGCGCAGAUAUCAGGAGGAACACCGGUGGCGAAGGCGGGUCUCUGGGCCGUAACUGACGCUGAGGAGCGAAAGCAUGGGGAGCGAACAGG